rnacentral:rRNA from 1 species
GCUUACGGCCAUACCAGCCUGGGUACGCCCCGGAUCCCGUCUAGAUGUCGGAAGCUAAGCAGGGUCGGGCCUGGUUAGUACUUGGAUGGGAGACCGCCUGGGAAUACCAGGUGCUGUAAGCA